ACGUGUAACACACUCGUAUUUUCCUCACUGCCUCAGUUGAUCCCCUUUCUGUCUCUCUUCUCUCGGCUCAUAGACUUCCCCCAAAUGGGAUGUUGACUGGUCUCCUCGUCGGCGAAGUUCAAUCUCGUCGCUGGCGACCACAGAAUGGAUCCACGAUGAACCUCCGCUCCUCUUCUUGGUUUUAGUUCAUCUGAUUAUGCAUCCUCUGGUCAAGGCUUCAAACCCUAGCCACUGUGGUCUGGAUCGAGGCGGAUUGGAGUUGCAGCACGGACUGCUCGGCGCAGUGGUUCUCUCAGGCGGAGUAGGAUACAGGCCUUUGUAAUCGUUAUUGCAGCCGGACUUCUACCACUGUGAGAAGUUGGUCGGCAAGACUGCAUUGGACGUCAAGUUGUACAUUGAUGGUGUGUCUUCGUCAGGAGUUGAGUUGCAUGUCCGGCCGUCGUCUUUAUCAUUCAAGUAGAGUUUCUCGAGCCAAUCAUCAGGCACAAAUGUUCUAUUAACUAAUUUUGUGUGCCAAAGCUGAUGUUACUAUCAUUGAGCUUGAAUCAAAAAAUAAGUCUUUUUCCA